rnacentral:lncRNA from 1 species
AAUCAUCUGAAAAGCUGAAAGUAUAAGUAGGUGUUUCUGGGAAACACAGAAAGGGACUGAUGUGUUUUAAAAACAGCCUAUAGAACUAUUUGACUCUCUAAACUAUGUGAAUGUUUUACUUUGAAAAAAUUAAACCUCAAAUUAAAAAAGAGUAAGUAGGCUGGGAAAUCAAGCUAAUGAAUUCUUGUAGGAGACAAUGUUGAAACAGAUGACAUCUUUAUACACUGUGAACCCAAUAAUGUAGAUUAGUCAGUUGUUUCUUAUGCAUUUGUCUUUCAAAUCAUGUAGAAAAUAAAAAGUGCAGUUACAAACCAAAAUUAUAAUAAUGCUAGCUUUUAUAAUUGCCCAUAUAUUUAUCUCUACUGGAGAUUUUUUACUGCUUCAUGUGGCUUCAAGUUACUGUCUAGGGCCCUUUCAUUUCAACCUGAGCGAUUUCCCUUUGGCAUUUCUUGCACAGCAAGUCUAGUGGUAAUGAACUCCCUCAGCUUAUGUUUAUUUGGGAGUGUCUCCUUCAUUUUUGAAGGAUAGUCUUGUCAGAUAGAUGAUUCUCAGUUGACAGUGUUUUUUUUCUUUUGGCAUUUUAAAUGUAUCUACCUAUUGCUCUCUGUCCUCCAAGGUUGCUGAUAAACUGGCAAUAAUUCUAUUGAAGGUCCCUUGUAAUCUCUCUGAGGAGUAACUUCUCACUCUCAGGAUUGCCUUUGGUCCUCAAUGGUUUGGCUAUAAUGUGUCUUGGUAUGAGUCUCUUUCUAAGUUUAUCCUAGUUGGAGUUUGUUGAGUUUCUUGGAUUUGAAGAUUUAUAUGUCUUUUAUAAAAUAUGAGAAGUUUUCAGAAUUAUUUAUUCUAUUUCUCUCUCUCUUUCCCUUCUGAGACCCCUGAAAUGUGUGUUGGUCCACUUGCUGUUCCCCAGGUUCCUUAAGCUCUGUUCACGUUUCUUCAUUCUUCAUUCCAUUUCUCAGGCUCAAUAAUUUUCCUAUUUUCAAGUUUGUUCAUUCUUUAUUGCCUGCUCAAUACUUUAUUGUUCUGCUUUUGAAUUCCUCUGGUGAAUUUUCAUUUCAGUUACUGUUCUUUUCAGAUCCAGAAUUUCUUUUUGGAUCCUAUUUGUAAUUUCUAUCUCUUUAUUGAGUUAUUCUCAUUUUGUUCAUACAUUUUCAAUGGACUUUGUCCAUGUUUUCUUUGAGCAUCUUUAAGACAGCUGUUUUAAAGUCUUGUCUAGUAAGCCUGAUGUCUAGGCUUCUUCAGAAAUACUUUCUGCCAUUUAUUUUUCUUUGUUUGAAUGGGCCAUACUUUCCUGUUUCUUGUAGCCAUGUGAUUUUAUUGUUGAAAAACAGACAUUUGAAUCUUAUAACGUUGUACCUCUGGAAAUCAGAUAAUCCUUCUCCCCUUGGGUUUGCUUUUUGAUUGUUAAAGGGUGCCUCUGUGGUGAAGACCAGCCUGAGGGAAAAACUUCUCAGUUCUCUUAGGUCUUUUCUGAGCCUGUCACUGCCCUGGCCAUGUGCUGUGGCUUUCUAAAUUUUCCCUUAUAUAUGGUUGCUCUUGAAUGUCCUAAUCCUUAAAUGCCUGACUCCCAAAAAAGCGAAAACAAAUCCACAGAAACCCACAGGUAUUACUCCUUUAGAUCCCAUGGAAGGUGCUUUAGCCAGUGUGGGCAGAACCAAUGGUGCCCAGUCUCUGUUCGAACUCAGUGAUCCAAAGCAGCAAUCACAACACGGAGCCCUGGUAUUUGGAGAACAAGGUCCUUAGUGCUCAUCCUGGCUCCAGCAAACUGCACCAGGAAUGCGUGCAUGGCUGUCUACCAUGCACUUGGGAACCAGGCAUCCAAAACUGAUGGAAACUAACCAUAACUUACCAGGCAAGCUUCCCCUUAGAAGCUGCAAGUUGUCAAGUAGACUCCCGAGUUCCAAAAUAGUUACUUUGGAUAGUUUCUGCCAUUUUGUGCCAUUUUUGUCUAGGUGGGGAUAUGGAUCUCUGGUGCUUCCUGCUCUGCCAUCUUCUCUGAUAUCAUUCCCCUCCCAUGAAUUUCUUAAGGAUAUGGCAGAAGAGAUGCUGGAUGCUGUGACUUCGGAGGCUGGGCUAUAAAGAGUAACAUGGCUUCUACCUGGCUCUUUAGCCUUUGGAAAGCUUGUGUUCAGAAUCCAGUUACCAUCCAGUUAUCAGUUAACUAGUCUUCAGGACCAAUGAGAGGCUCACAUGGAGAGACACAAGCCCCAUCUAAGAGCCAGCAUGAGCCAGAUACAGGCGAGAACGAAGACUCGUCUGACUCCAGGUCUUCCAGCCAAGCCCAGACGUGGGAGCCGGGACAGGUGGUGCCUGCCAUGCCUUGCCUGGACUCAACGCCCAGAAUCUAUGAGCACGAUCGAAUGGGUGUUGUGCACCACCACGUGCUGAAGCAACUACAACAGCCUGGAAACAGGCCAAGAAUGUGAGGGGUGUCGGCUCUAUGCACCGAGGAAUGGGGGAAACACCAGCUUUCUGUGAGCAAGAAGGUGCAGGGAACGGUCAAAGAAGGGGUGGGUGAUGGUAGAUUUACGUGGAGUUUCAGGAGUCAGUGAAGGGAGACUGCCGAGCCGUGGCCAUGGUGGCAGCAGGGAGAUGUUUCUGGGGCAGGCUCACCCUUCCCCACAUCCACAUGCUGAAAUGUCUUACAAAUAAUCAGAGAAAUGUGAAAGUAUAUUAGUUAUGAGUAAUAAAUAUAUUUUGCUUUAUUUUCAAUUUGAUAUAUGGAAAUUUCAUCAGAAGACUUGACUGCAGUGUUACUUACAACUUAGAAUGACAAAAAAUUCAGCUCUCUGGUUUUUCAAAGGUAAUAAAGAUUAUACUAACUCAAUGGCUUAAAUAAGAGCUUGUUAACCAAACACAAAUAUUUUACUGACAAACUAGAAUUUAGGUAUUAUGAAGGAGAAAACAAUUUUCACAGACACCCACUCUCUUAGUCUAAGGGAUGAGGAAUUUAUUUCAAAGUUAUACAAGUGCAAAGAAAUAGAUCUAGAAGCAGCAGGGGUUUCAAAUGAGCAAAAAUGGAAGAAAUAGAAAGUUAAUGUUUACUGACAUAGGGAAAUCCUCAUAAGAGGAAUGAAAAAAAUCGAUUUCCAAAGCUAGGAAAACAUGUGGGUCCUACAAGACUUGCACGAAAAAUAAUUAGAUGUAAAUGUUCUUAAGAAGAAACCGAAGGGAGCGGUUAGGAUAUUUCAAAUGUAAGAAAUACAAAUGUAAUAAGAUACCUAGAGACCAUGUCCCUUUUUAAUAAACACUCAGGAUUUUAAGGAAAGAUGAUGCCUUGGAGCUCUGUGCCUUUGGCCCGUUGGUCAAGGUAAUUCGUCAAGUGCAGGCACACAAACUGGCCUGCAAGCACGUUCAGGGGCUUAUUUUGUUUUUAAAGAGCAACAACCAGAAGGAAAUGUCUUUAGGUGCCAGGGGUGAGCACCUCCUAAGAACACGGGGCAUCUUCAGAGCCAUGGCAUGGCCCAGCAGGAGCAGGGGUCACCACCAGCUUUUCUUCUCCUUUCUCAGGUGGAGACAGACAUAAGUUCGAGGUUUCUGGAAGACGGCUGCCCACAGAGGGCUUGCCUUCUAACUCCUCAUUUGAAUCUUUUCCAUCAUCAAUACCCUGGCCAUUCCUUUUCCCACAGGUACAGCUCAGUACAAUCUGGGGCUUAAAAUUUCAAUUCUUUGGUGACCUGAAGAUUCUUCCAUGAAAAGGAUUACUCUGAACUUAAUUUUUUUUUUUAACCAAAAGUCCUUCAAUGCUCAGAGAUAAAGAGGAACAAACGUGCCAUUCACUUGUGGCAUCAUAAACCAGGCCUGAUGGCAGCCCAGCCGCUGGCUGCUCUCAGCAUGCUCUCUGUGGAUUUCCUGUGUGACUGGAUGGAGGGCCAGGCUUGUCUUCACAGGCACUGCCAUAAAAAAUCCUGAGCCAGGCCCUGGCAAAAUGAAACGAAAGGGAUGACCCCACAGAAACAGACACAGGAGUCACACACAUGCUGUCAUGUCUCCCAGGCAGAACCCUCCAGGCAGAAUUAACUCUUCCACCAGAAAGAUGGGAAGUUAGUUGUUACUUUUCUAUUCAAACACUUCUGAGGACCAAGAGAACACAUAGUUGGAAACUUAUGUUUGAUUAGAAUUUCUGAUUAGAAAAGAAUUUCUGAAAUAUCCCCAGCUUCACUUUCUGUGGUUUCGGUUACUCAUGGUCAACUGAAGUCUGAAAAUUAAAUUAAAUGGGAAAUCCGUUUUAACUUGCUCGCCAUUGUGAAUAGUGUGAUGAAACCUUGUGCCUCCCGCUCUGUCAUGCCCAGGACAUGAAUCAGCCCCUCAUCCAGCUUCUCUGACCAUUAGUCACUUAGUGGUCUUCUUGGUUUUCAGAUAGCAAGAAGGGUGAUUACAGCACGAUAUUUUGACAGAGACCACAUUCACAUAGCUUUUAUUAGUUAUUGGUUGCUGUUAAUCUCUCACUGUUCUUUGUUAAGCUUUAUCAUGGUAUGUACGUAGAGGAAAAAGCCAAGGUAUAGAUAUGUAGGAUUCCAUACUAUCCAGUCUCAGGCAUCCACUGAGGGUCUUGGGAUGUCUCCCCCGCAGAUAAGGGAGGACUACUGUAUAGUGUUUUCUGACUUUUUAAUAACAGGAGAUAACCCCUCAUAAUCUAGUGUUGCUAAUAAAAAAUCAGAAUACAACAGAUUCCCAUUUAUUUUAAAAUGAAAUUAGCUAGGCAUCAUAUAUAUGAAUGAAAGAUCAGAAUGAAACACAUGAAGAUGUUAACAAUGAUUGUUUUGGGCCACAGAAUCAGGCACAAGCUCGGGAGAGAAGCCAACAAAAGCUCUUCUGCACAAUGGGAGGGAGACACCAUUGAAAAAGGCAUCGUUCCUUCUUCAUGCAAGCGAGGCCUGGCUCCCACAGGCAUGGUCUCCUUGCAGCUG